UACGGGGAGUGAACAUUUCAUAAACAACUGACAGACGAGACAGGAACAGCGUCAGAAACAGAUACAGAUACAAAGACAAAAAAACAAUCAAUGCAGCAGCAGGGAACAGAGCAAGGGAACAUACAAAUAUAGGGGAAGAAAUGAACAGGAGAUAAAUGAAUCCAGGUGACACCUAUGAGCAGACUAUAGAGCCAGACCAACAUGAAGUGUAUGCAGAAGUGGGUAGUAAUGUUCUUCUUUCCUGCAACUACUCCUCAGCAGACAGUCUACUAUGGUAUAAACAGUCUCCAGGAUCAGCUCCCCAAUACCUUCUGCUCGUCCCGCACUACACUGGGACUGUAAAGAGAGCUGAUUCUCUUGACUCUCGCUUCUCUGGUAAACUGAACAAAGAGAAGACCCGUGUGGAUCUGGAGAUCUCCUCUGCUGAAGAGACAGACUCUGCUCUUUACUACUGUGCUCUGAGGCCCACAGUGACAGGAAACCUCAGAAACACAAUACAAAAACUGAUCCUCACUAUACAAACACAGACAACCUGUAUCUGA